AUGAAGAAAAAACAGCACCAGCAGUACUCCCUUGAAAUGAAGGCCUGUAGCAAGGAGCAAGUACCAGUACUCGUCUCCACCAAUCAGGUUGUAAUAUCCUCUCCUUGCAAUGGUUCUCUAAGUACACUUAAAUAUGAGAGUGGUGAUAGUCGCAGAGCCAUCAUGUCUCGUCUCCUAUGGAUCUCCAAGAUAAGUGUAAAUAAUGCUUCAUCAUCAGAUUCAUCAACUCCAUGUUGUCUCUGGUUCCAAUUCACCAGCCAAUUGAGCAUAUGGUUGAAGAUUCCGGCAUAUGUCACAGACGGUCCGCCUCUUAGUUUAGAUUGUAAUUGA